GCCGGGCACGGUGGCUCAUGCCUGUAAUCCCAGCACUUUGGGGGGCCGAGGCGGAUGGAUCACGAAGUCAAGAGAUCGAGACCAUCCUGGUCAACAUGGUGAAACCCCGUCUCUACUAAAAAUACAAAAAAAUUAGCUGGGCAUGGUGGUGCGUGCCUGUAAUCCCAGUUACUCAGGAGGCUGAGGCAGGAGAACUGCCUGAAGCCAGGAGGUGGAGGUUGCGGUGAUCCGAGAUCGCACCAUUGCACUCCAGCCUGGAUAUCAACUAAAUGAGAAUGAGAACUUACUACACAAGGCAUGACAGACUCCAGGCAUUAUACACUCUGCACUUAUUCCAGCCAGAAUGUACAAAGCUCUCAGUGGAAGAACGAAAUGUGACAGGAAGAAUAGCUCGUAAGAAGGGCUGGAACAAAGAAGACAAGAAUGGAGCACAGUGCAAGCUAAAGGUGGGAAGUUAGCUGUGGAUGAGGCCACUCAGGCUCAUAGACUCCAACAUGGAAUUUAAGUUGAUAUUUAUGGUGCCCUUGAGGUUGGAAAAAAAAGGAGUGACAUGGACGUUAUGGAGACUGGACUGAAGUGGGAAGUAAACUUUUAUGUUGACUGAAAAGACACGGAAAGCAGUGAUGUCUACUUGCAAGAAGGACAGAAUGAUGGAGGUACAGCGUUGUCCACCUUGGCAAAGUUUUUGAGAACAAAACCCUCCAUAAUUUCACAGUGUAAGUUGAAGCAGCAGGAAUGAGAUGGGCAAGAUGAAAGUGAGUGUUCACAGUAUGCCUGUGUCAAAACUUCUCUUGUACCACAUAGAUACAUAGAUCUACAAUAUAUUCACAAAAUUAAAAAAAAUAA